GUCGUCAGCUCGUGUCGUGAGAUGUUGGGUUAAGUCCCGUAACGAGCGCAACCCUUGUCCUUAGUUACCAGCACGUAAUGGUGGGCACUCUAAGGAGACUGCCGGUGACAAACCGGAGGAAGGUGGGGAUGACGUCAAGUCCUCAUGGCCCUUAUAGGUGGGGCUACACACGUCAUACAAUGGCUGGUACAGAGGGUUGCCAACCCGCGAGGGGGAGCUAAUCCCAGAAAGCCGAUCGUAGUCCGGAUUGGAGUCUGCAACUCGACUCCAUGAAGUCGGAAUCGCUAGUAAUCGCGAAUCAGAAUGUCGCGGUGAAUACGUUCCCGGGUCUUGUACACACCGCCCGUCACACCAUGGGAGUCGUUUGCUCCAGAAGUCGGUGACCCAACCUUAGGGAGGGAGCCGCCGAAGGAGUGGACGGUGACUGGGGUGAAGUCG
rnacentral:rRNA from 1 species